rnacentral:rRNA from 1 species
GAUGAACGCUGGCGGCGUGCCUAAUACAUGCAAGUCGAGCGAACAGACGAGAAGCUUGCUUCUCUGAUGUUAGCGGCGGACGGGUGAGUAACACGUGGAUAACCUACCUAUAAGACUGGGAUAACUUCGGGAAACCGGAGCUAAUACCGGAUGAUAUUUUGAACCGCAUGGUUCAAAAGUGAAAGACGGUCUUGCUGUCACUUAUAGAUGGAUCCGCGCCGCAUUAGCUAGUUGGUAAGGUAACGGCUUACCAAGGCAACGAUGCAUAGCCGACCUGAGAGGGUGAUCGGCCACACUGGAACUGAGACACGGUCCAGACUCCUACGGGAGGCAGCAGUAGGGAAUCUUCCGCAAUGGGCGAAAGCCUGACGGAGCAACGCCGCGUGAGUGAUGAAGGUCUUCGGAUCGUAAAACUCUGUUAUUAGGGAAGAACAUAUGUGUAAGUAACUGUGCACGUCUUGACGGUACCUAAUCAGAAAGCCACGGCUAACUACGUG